CUUCCUCCUGGCUAUACACACCUCCUCCGGCAAAUUGUGAAGGCAGCUUUCAGAUCUUUUACAAAGCCUCCAGAUUUAUUACCAUUUUUUUCUUUUCUUUUCUGCAAGAAGGGAUCCUACUCUCUCAGCCACAUCCCUGCUGAGUCUUAUGGAUAUUCGUGCACGGUAAAUACAGCAUGCGCAGGACAAAGGAAAUUUACUCUUCCAAUCAGGAGCCUGGAUUGCUCAGUUACUGCUGACAGAAGGAGCCUGGCCAAAUUUUGCAGACAUGUAUUCAAUCUGAUUUCUACACCAGAACCUAAGGACGGAUGAGGUAAAGUGAAUUUGUCCUUGGAUCCGGAGCUCUCUUUCAAGAUGCAUUCAUCUUAAAUGUCACCUUGUUCUUGUGGAAAGAGAGAAUGAAAUUUCUGGAAAGAAGAGAGCAUGAG
rnacentral:lncRNA from 1 species